rnacentral:rRNA from 1 species
CCACGUAGGCACCAAGCGUUAUCCGGAUUUAUUGGGCGUAAAGAGUUCGUAGGCGGUUCGAUAAGUCGGGUGUGAAAGCUCUGGGCUCGACCCAGAGAGGCCACCCGAUACUGUUGUGACUAGAGUACGGUAGGGGAACGGGGAAUUCCUGGUGUAGCGGUGAAAUGCGCAGAUAUCAGGAGGAACACCAGCGGCGAAGGCGCCGUUCUGGGCCGUUACUGACGCUGAGGAACGAAAGCAUGGGUAGCAAACAGGAUUAGAAACCCCAGUAGUCC